rnacentral:rRNA from 1 species
GGACGGGUUAAAUACCAGAUUUAAAAAGGUCAAAUUAAAUUAUCUUUAAAAGGAUAAAUUGGUAAGACGCCUUAAAAUGGGCCGCAGGCUGAACAGGUAGUUGGUGAGGUAAAGGCUCACCAAGCCUUAGACCAGUAGCGGAGUAGCAACCGCCGCAUCGGGACUGAGUAAACGGCCCGAAUAGGUAAAACCUAGCAGCAGUCGAGAAUCUUGGUCAAUGGGCGAAAGCCUGAACCAGCGAAGCCACGUGGGUGAAGACGUCUUUUUGGGCGUAAAACCCCGGAGUACAAUUUAGAAUGAAAGUUGUACGAAGAAGUCCUGACUAACUGCCGUGCCAGCAGUCGCGGUAAAUCGGCGAGGGCGAGUGUUGAUGAAAAAUGGGCGUAAAGGAUCCGUAGGUGGUUAUGUAGACUAAUUGUAAAGUCACCUUAUAUUAGGUGUGCGAUUAGGAUCACAUAGCUAGAGAAUUGCAGAGGGAAGUGGAAUGCUCGAGCGACAGUUAAAAUCGGUGGACCUCGAGUGGAACAUCAGUGGCGAAGGCGACUUCCUGGGCAAUAUCUGACGCUGAGGGAUGAAGGUAGGGGUAGCGAAACGGAUUAGAUACCCGUGUAGUCCCUACAGUAAACGAUGUACAUUGGAAGUUUGAUAUAAGUACUUGAAGUCAUAAAAGAUUGAUGUAAAAAGUUAAUCAUAUAGUGAAUAGAGUAAAAAUAUAUUGAGUUUCUAAGCUAACGCGUUAAAUGUACCGCCUGAAGAGUAUAGUCGCAAGGCUGGAACUCAAAGGACUAGACGGGCGACCAGACCCCCAGCGGAGGAUGCUCCUUAAUUCGAUGUUACGCGCAAAACCUUACCGCUUCUUGACAGAUGAAAACUAAAGAAUUAUGUAAAAGUAAUUAAUUAGUAAUCAUAAACAGGUGUUGCAUGGCCGUCGUCAGUUCGUGUCGUGAGAUGUAGGGUUCAGUCCUUCAACGAACGAAACCCCCGCAUUAUGGAAACAUGUUUAUUAAAAAUAAACUAAAAUGGAUGCUUUGAGAUAAUCAAAGUGAAAUGGGGUUGAUGUCAGGUCCUCAUGGCCCUUAUGAAGCGGGCUGGCAAUGUCCUACAGUGUCAGGGACAGUGGGUAGCAAUGGGGAAACCCGGAGCCUAUUCCUUAAACCCUGACGUGGUUCGGAUCGAGGAUUGCAACUCAUCCUCGUGAAGACGGAGUUGGGAGUAAUCGCGAAUCAGCACGUCGCGGUGAACUACUACAUGGUCGUUGUACUUACUGCCCAUCACGGCUUGGAACGCUACGACCAUCGAAGGAAACGAGGUGGUUAGGGCGGACUGAGCUGAAGUUGUAACAAGGUAGCCCUAGGCGAACCU